UACGAAGGGGGCUAGCGUUGCUCGGAAUCACUGGGCGUAAAGGGCGCGUAGGCGGCCGAUCAAGUCAGGGGUGAAAGCCUGUGGCUCAACCACAGAAUUGCCUUUGAUACUGUUUGGCUAGAGACCGGAAGAGGUUAGUGGAACUGCGAGUGUAGAGGUGAAAUUCGUAGAUAUUCGCAAGAACACCAGUGGCGAAGGCGGCUAACUGGUCCGGUUCUGGACGCUGAGGCGCGAAAGCGUGGGGAGCAAACAGG
rnacentral:rRNA from 1 species